rnacentral:rRNA from 1 species
ACAGAGGUCCCAACCGUUGUUCGGAUUCAUUGGGCGUAAAGGGUGCGUAGGCGGUCGCGCAAGUCGGAUGUGAAAUCUCGGGGCUCAACCCCGAAACUGCAUUCGAUACUGCGUGGCUAGAGUGCUGGAGGGGAGACUGGAAUUUACGGUGUAGCAGUGAAAUGCGUAGAUAUCGAGAGGAACACCAGUGGCGAAGGCGAGUCCCUGGACAACACCUGACACUGAGGCACGAAAGCCGGGGGAGCAAACAGGA